rnacentral:rRNA from 1 species
AUUGAACGCUGGCGGCAUGCCUUACACAUGCAAGUCGAACGGCAGCACGGGAGCUUGCUCCUGGUGGCGAGUGGCGAACGGGUGAGUAAUACAUCGGAACGUACCCUGAAGUGGGGGAUAACGUAGCGAAAGUUACGCUAAUACCGCAUAUUCCCUAAGGGGGAAAGCGGGGGAUUCGCAAGAACCUCGCGUUUUCGGAGCGGCCGAUAUCGGAUUAGCUAGUAGGUGAGGUAAAGGCUCACCUAGGCGACGAUCCGUAGCUGGUCUGAGAGGACGACCAGCCACACUGGAACUGAGACACGGUCCAGACUCCUACGGGAGGCAGCAGUGGGGAAUUUUGGACAAUGGGCGCAAGCCUGAUCCAGCCAUGCCGCGUGAGUGAAGAAGGCCUCGGUUGUAAGCUCUUUCUAGCCGGAAGAAACGACACGGGUAAUAACCUAGUGUGGAGUGACGGUACCGGAAGAAGAAGCACCGGCUAACUACGUAGCCAGCAGCCGCGGUAA